rnacentral:lncRNA from 13 species
CAUGGCUCCGCCAGGGCUGCUGCAUUGAAGCCCACGACAGUGUAUUCAGAGUCCCUGGUACUGAGAGCAAAAAAGGCUUUGAGAACCCAUGUGGCGCCAAGACCUCCUUCUGUGGUUUUACUGAGAAGAUGAUAAACUCCCUCAUCUUCUACAGCACCUGGGCUUCACCCCUAUGCACCAAGGACAGGACCUGAACUCUGUCUUUACCCCUUCUGACACCAGUGCUGAGAUGCCACACUCUGAGUGCAUCUGCCCUCGAGGGCCUCCACAGAUGGGACAAGCCUCAAACCUAUUUUGUUCCAGCUACCCCUGACGGUAACUUUGAGGUACUGCAAUCACAUCUCAUGGAGCAGAGUGGAAAGUUAAUUGGCUGUGCCAGUCUGUCAAGAAGAUGCAUGUUAAAGCUCUUGCGGGAUUGAAGGAGACUUGCACUGGAAAUUACACCAUCAGCUUUCCUGGUUCUCAAGCCUUCAAACUUGGACUAGAACUUACCAUCAGCACCCCUGCCAACUCCUUGCCAUCUGCAAACCUUGGACUUCUUAUCUUCUACAUUUAUUUGUUUUCUCUGCCUGAAGCAGAAACAAGGAAAAAUAUUGCUGAAAUCAAGGAAGGAGAAGCCCCUUUGACAAAGGAGUGAAAGUAGCUUCCAGUGCUACAAAGAACCCAGCAAGAUGAAAAUAUACAGUGACUCUGAGAAGGGAAGCAACUUCUCCACAGAAACAAUGCUCUGAAAAAACAAAGCUGGAACUCAAAAUCAAAGAUCCUUUUUCUGAAGCUGGAGGUUUUCUCACUAAACCUCUCAUUUCUUCUGUAGGAACCUCUGUGAAUAAACCGGCCUCUGUAAACA